rnacentral:rRNA from 1 species
UGAUGCAGCGACGCCGCGUGAGGGAUGACGGCCUUCGGGUUGUAAACCUCUUUCAGUAGGGAACAAGGCCAGCCUGUUGGUUGGUUGAGGGUACUUGCAGAAGAAGCGCCGGCUAACUACGUGCCAGCAGCCGCGGUAAUACGUAGGGCGCAAGCGUUAUCCGGAAUUAUUGGGCGUAAAGAGCUCGUAGGCGGUUUGUCGCGUCUGCCGUGAAAGUCCGGGGCUCAACUCCGGAUCUGCGGUGGGUACGGGCAGACUAGAGUGAUGUAGGGGAGACUGGAAUUCCUGGUGUAGCGGUGAAAUGCGCAGAUAUCAGGAGGAACACCGAUGGCGAAGGCAGGUCUCUGGGCAUUAACUGACGCUGAGGAGCGAAAGCAUGGGGAGCGAACAGGAUUAGAUACCCUGGUAGUCCAUGCCGUAAACGUUGGGCACUAGGUGUGGGGGACAUUCCACGUUUUCCGCGCCGUAGCUAACGCAUUAAGUGCCCCGCCUGGGGAGUACGGCCGCAAGGCUAAAACUCAAAGGAAUUGACGGGGGCCCGCACAAGCGGCGGAGCAUGCGGAUUAAUUCGAUGCAACGCGAAGAACCUUACCAAGGCUUGACAUGAACCGGAAAGACCUGGAAACAGGUGCCCCGCUUGCGGUCGGUUUACAGGUGGUGCAUGGUUGUCGUCAGCUC